rnacentral:RNase_P_RNA from 1 species
UGAGCCGGCCAAACAGCCGCCGCGUGCGCAGGCACGGGGAGGAAAGUCCGGGCUCCACAGGACUAGAGCGCCAGGUAACCCCUGGGGGGCGCGAGCCUACGGAAAGUGCAACAGAGAGUAGACCGCCGCCUCGUGAUGAGGCGGUAAGGGUGAAAGGGUGCGGUAAGAGCGCACCGCGCCGGGUGGCAACAUCCGGCGGCUAGGUAAACCCCGCUCGGAGCAAGGCCAAAUAGGGAUCCUAUGACGUUGGUCCGCGUCGGAUCCGGGUAGGCCGCUUGAGGCGCACGGUGACGUGCGCCCUAGAUGAAUGGCUGUUCUCGACAGAACCCGGCUUAUCGGCCGGCUCAAAUU